rnacentral:lncRNA from 1 species
CAAUGUCAUUUUACAGGGUGGAGGGAGACACUAGCAGGGAAAGGAGAUAUUAGGAAAUGCCUCAGGCAAGAAGUAACAUGUGAACUGGAUGAAAUGAAGAGGGAAUGCAUUCUAAACAUAGGAAUAACAUCUUUGCAAAGACACAGGAAUCACCUAUCAAAAAAACCCUCUUUCAGAUGAAGAAACUGAGUCUUGGGAAAGGUGGCACUGUUGAAGCCAGCUGAGGACUACUUCCCAUCUCACUUCCCACCUCCUUUUUUGGAUUGGAAGGAAAACUGUUGAUGCUCCCAGAUCUUGGAUUUCUUUGAGGAUCACAGCCUUAAAAAUACACAUACUUCUUUGUUGAAGGUUGCGGCUCUUGUCUAAGAUUCCCCAUCAAAAACCAUCCUCCUUACCAAUUUCUGGGUCUCUUUAAAUUGGAAAUUUAACCAGUUACAAUAGGCUCAUUAGUCUAGACAAAAUAAAAAUCUCAGAUUAUGCUUAAAGUUCUGGAUU